CGCCAAAUAACUACGAGUAAAAACUUAAAAUUUAAAAGACUUGACGGUGCUUCACAACGACCUAGAGGAGCCUGUCCAAUAACCGAUACUCCGCGAUUAACCCAACCCGCCCUAGCCCAACAGUCUAUAUACCGCCGUCGCCAGCCUACCUUAUGAAAGAAACAAAGUAAGCCAAAUAGCACACACUAACAAGACAGGUCGAGGUGUAACUCAKGGGUGGGACAAGAUGGGCUACAUUUUCUAAUAUAGAAAAUACGAAUAAACUAUGAAAAGAGAAACUGAAGGAGGAUUUAGCAGUAAACUAGGAACAAACACACCUGGUUGAAACCAACGCAAUGAAGCGCGUACACACCGCCCGUCAUCCCUGUAAACACAUAAAACCAUCAAUAAUAUAACAAACAAAUUUAAGCAGGGCAAGUCGUA
rnacentral:rRNA from 1 species